ACUGAGCCACCCAGGCCUCCCCAAGCUCAUGUUUUAAAAUUAAUCAUGAGCUAGUGAGCUUGAAAGUCAGAAUAAAAUGAAAAAAAAAUGGUUGGUUUUUUUCCCCUAUAUUUCAAGUAUCUCAUUUAUAGAUUUUUGGGUAAGCCUGGCAAACUGGGAACACAGAGUUUCACUAGAAGUUCUAGAUGCAGAAAAGUGGGGGUGUUCAGUCGGCCAAGUUCGCAUGCAGGUCAGAGAAGGGCUAGCACUCGGGGCUGGGAUGUGAUGUGAUGUGUUGGGGAGACAGUAAGAGGAUGUAUUUUCUGGUUCCCUGUCUCUGGGGGUCUUAUCCAAGGGAGGAUAAAAACUACCACAGAAACCCAAAGCACAUGGAGGGAGAACUUGAGAACAUCUUGCUGAUGUCAAGCUUCUGGAACACGGCCCUGGAGGAACACCACCAACAGUGGAGACAUCAGCACAGACCAGCCCAAACUAGCCCUGACUGUCCCCACGGGCUGCACAGGUACCUCAGUUCUAGAAUCCAGAGAAAAAGAAGCAGACGGCCACCAGGUGCACCUGCAGGAUGGCAGCCUCUUGCGCCAGCUUCCCGUUGCCUCCUGAUGACAGCCGCUGUCUGGGCUUGUGGAGAACAGCCGAACAAGACACAUUUUCCAGGAAUGUGUCUGAAGUGGUGAUUCAUCCCCCUUCUUGGUCCCUGACGUCUGAACCGUUCUGCUGUGUCCAAGGAAUCCCCACCUUAUGUGCCUUGGUGAAACAAUGAAUUCAUUCUCACCAUCGGAAGGAAACCUUCCAACUACGGUUUCUCAGUAUUCCUUAGGUAAAUUAAGCUGAAAGUGUGGGCUCCCCCAAUUAGACACACUCCUCACAACUGCCACCCUUUCACACACACGCACACGCACUCACAUAGGGACA